GGUGGAUACGUCCCUGUGUCCAGCUCUUAUGGCGGUUACCAUUAGCUCGGAUGACCGCACCUCACUUCCUUCGUUUUGCUGUUAUUGUUGCUUCUUUUUCCUCGGGUGUUUAUGUGACGAGUGCGAAUAAGAUUGAUUUUUUACGAAAAUAAAAUAAAAUAAAC